UACGUAGGGUGCAAGCGUUGUCCGGAAUUAUUGGGCGUAAAGAGCUCGUAGGCGGUCUGUCGCGUCGGCUGUGAAAACUCGGGGCUCAACCCCGAGCCUGCAGUCGAUACGGGCAGGCUGGAGUUCGGUAGGGGAGACUGGAAUUCCUGGUGUAGCGGUGAAAUGCGCAGAUAUCAGGAGGAACACCGGUGGCGAAGGCGGGUCUCUGGGCAUUAACUGACGCUGAGGAGCGAAAGCAUGGGGAGCGAACAGG
rnacentral:rRNA from 1 species